AAACCAACAGGGAUUGCCCUAGUAACGGCGAGUGAAGCGGCAAGAGCUCAAAUUUGAAAUCUGGCCCUCUCAGGGUCCGAGUUGUAAUUUGUAGAGGGCGCUUUGGCGUUGGCCCCGGCCUAAGUUCCUUGGAACAGGACGUCACAGAGGGUGAGAACCCCGUACGUGGCCGCCGGCCUCCGCCGUGUAAAGCCCCUUCGACGAGUCGAGUUGUUUGGGAAUGCAGCUCUAAAUGGGAGGUAAAUUUCUUCUAAAGCUAAAUACUGGCCAGAGACCGAUAGCGCACAAGUAGAGUGAUCGAAAGAUGAAAAGCACUUUGGAAAGAGAGUCAAAAAGCACGUGAAAUUGUUGAAAGGGAAGCGCUUGCAGCCAGACUUGCCUGUAGUUGCUCAUCCGAGCUCCCGCUCGGUGCACUNUUNUGCGGGCAGGCCAGCAUCAGUCCGGGCGGUCGGAUAAAGGCCUCGGGAAUGUAGCUCCCCUCGGGGAGUGUUAUAGCCCGGGGCNCCAUGCUACCAGCCUGGACUGAGGUCCGCGCAUCUGCUAGGAUGCUGGCGUAAUGGCUGUAAGCGGC
rnacentral:rRNA from 1 species